GGAGAGAUGGCAGAGUGGUUGAACGCGCUGGACUCGAAAUCCAGUAUGGUGGUUUUCCAUCAUCGGGGGUUCGAAUCCCCCUCUCUCCG
rnacentral:tRNA from 1 species